ACGAACGCUGGCGGCGUGCUUAACACAUGCAAGUCGAACGGUGAAGCACCUUCCUUUUGGUGGGUGUGGAUGAGUGGCGAACGGGUGAGUAACACGUUAGUAACCUGCCCCCUUCUUCUGGAUAACCGCAUGAAAGUGUGGCUAAUACGGGAUAUUCUGGGUCUGUCGCAUGGCGGUCCUGGGAAAGAGAUUGUUUCGGUGGGGGAUGGGCUCGCGGUCUUUCAGCUUGGUGGUGGGGUUAUGGACUACUUAGGCGGUGACGGGUAGCCGGCAUGGGAGGGUGGACGGCCACACUGGGUCAGAGGCGCGGCCCAGACUCAUACGGGGGGCAGCCGUGGGGAGGAUUGCGCAGUGGGCGAAAGUGUGAUGCAGCGGCGCCGCGUGAGGGAUGGAGGCGUGCGGGUUGUAAACCUCUUUCGCCAGUGAAGCAGGCCUGUCUCUUUUGUGGGUGGGUUGACGGUAGCGGGAUAAGAAGCGCCGGCUAACUACGUG
rnacentral:rRNA from 1 species